UACGGGGGGGGCAAGCGUUGUUCGGAAUUACUGGGCGUAAAGGGCGCGUAGGCGGCCUGCUAAGUCGGACGUGAAAUCCCUCGGCUCAACCGGGGAACUGCCUUCCAGACUGCUUUGCUUGAGGCCGGGAGAGGUGAGUGGAAUUCCCAGUGUAGCGGUGAAAUGCGUAGAUAUUGGGAGGAACACCAGUGGCGAAGGCGGCUCACUGGACCGGUUCUGACGCUGAGGCGCGAAAGCGUGGGGAGCAAACGGG
rnacentral:rRNA from 1 species